GGACUGCGUGGUGAAGAAGCCUUCUCCCUCCUCCUCUUCCUCAGGACCGGCAUGGAGGAACAUCAGGUCAAAGAGCAGUGGAGCCUUGCUGCAGGACCUCAGGGGGGGGCCUCGCAGCGACAUCCGUUGGCCGCAGCGAGCUGGACGACCUGCAGGAGGAGGUGCAGAAGAGAGCGAGGGAGGAGGAGCAGCAUCGCCGGCUGGAGAAGGAGAGGGAGGCGGCAAUCGGCUUCAACCCCCGACCAAGCAAAUACUUGGACCUCGAUCAGCUACAGAUCCAAGGUAAAGGUGAUAGCUUUGAGAGAUGUGUGUCGGAGGCGGAGCUUCUGCUGGACCAAUCGGUGCGCCUGGAGCAGGCGGGCGAGGUCUCUGCUGUGCUGUCGGCCGUCAACGAAGCCGUCUUGAAAAGCCUCUCUCGCUCCAAAUACUUUUGACAGACAGACAAUCCGACCAGUCAGCUGACAGUCAGGACCAACAGGCCCCGCCUCUCUCUCCAUGCCUUGUUAAGCCCCUCCAUCCCCAAACCAACUCCGUGUCUGACUGCGGCUCCGGCGCCGGGGCCCAUACAGGUUCACCCAGAGACUACAGCAUGACUGGAGGCCCCUGCUUUGUCUUUGGGAAACCCCUCACCAACACUAGGUCCCUCCCUGCCCUGUGCGUGGACAACUUGGAGGAAAACCACUUGGGAGACUUGGCUCCACCCCCUCAAUCUAAGGAGGCGGAGCUUCCUCCCCAAAGAACCAUAACGGCCCCUAUUUGCAUCCCAGUAAAGGCCCCGCCCCCGCCCAGGCAACCCUCUCAAACCUCUUCACCUGUUGGCACCGAUGACAGGGGUCAUCUGACGAUGUCGGAGGCGCCUCAUUCCACCAGAAACCCACAUUGCAAGCCCCCCCCAGCUUGCCCCAGGGUAGCCCCACUCCCAUCAUCCUACCCAGUCAGGAAUUGGUCCUGCUUAUACUUGGACCCUCACGAUGUUGUCGAUUCUCCCGUUGACCCCCCAAUCAGCUCGCCUCUUUACUCAACUCUCAACUCCAAUUCCAAUGUUCUCCCUCUGUCAGCCGUGAGCUGGCCCGCUCCGCCCUCCUCCCCGCCCCCCAGGCAGGACCACAUAGCGGCCCUGCCUGUGGAGCGCUGGGCGGAAAACGUCAAUAGAUACUACGGCUCCCAGAAUGCAACGGGAGGAGGGGGAGAGGAUGUGCCCUGUGAGGAGCUCUCGGAGCUGGACUCUCUGUACCAGGCCAGUCUGCUGGCUCCCAGCAUGCACCGGGGCAGCCGUGGAGUCAGUCCUCAACCGGCCAACAAUAAACCAGGUGUGAGGAGAAUGCUGUCGGGGUCUGGACGCUCCAAGACCCCAACGGCUGAGAUUGAGAGAUGCGCCUACAGAACACCUGUUACAACUCAUAAGUUGGCUCAAGGUGAAGACGAGAGCUACAGUGCAGCAAACCUGCGACGCAUUGCACGCAGCCUGAGUGGAAGUGCCAUGGGGUCACGACCCCAAAGUCCCAGCUCCUCCCACAGCUGUGAGCCCCCUAUGUCCAGGCCCCCCCUCAAACACUCUACCUCUUCCUCCUCCCUCCUCCGUCGCCCAAGCGCCUCCUCCCUGCCCGUCCCCUCCUCUUCCUCAACCUCCUUCCCUGCAGACCACUCCUCCCACCUUCUCCAACACCACCAACCCCGAAACCACGGCCCCCCAGCUCCUGCACAUCCUCCACAGCACCCUCCCUUGCAGACAUCACGGCCCCCCAACCUGGGCCCCUCAUCCUGGGGACACUCAGAAGCUGGACCGAGUCUCCAGCAGCCGUUUCUGGUUGUGUCUGACAGGCGUCCGUCUCUCUCUGGUCAAAGCCUCCACAAUGUCGCGUUGAGUUACGGCACUCUGCCCCGUGCUCCUCGCCGAGCGCCUCCUCCUCCCUCCUCCUCCUCCACCGCCACUCUCCCCAGGCCCAGAGCCGUCUCCGGUCCCGCCCCCCCGCUGCCAAGUCCACAUAGUCUCUACGCCACCCUUUCCCGCCCUCGGCGCUCUGCCAACGCUAACGGUCACUACCGGCAACCGUCGCUGCCCAUUAAUCUCAACGGCUCCGCCCAUUACGCCCCGGCCCACCCCAGGGGGGCGGGGGAGGCCCCCGCCCAGCCGCUCCGCCUCGACGUGCCCCCUGAGACCGACUGGCGUCGAGAAGCCGACUACAGAACUCUCAGCUCCUCUUGGGACCCCCGCGCCCUCAGCCGCCCCCACCAGCCCAUCCAGCACCACCAGCCCCUCCAGCGGACCAACUCCCACCAGCCCCCCCCGGCCCCGCAGGGACCCCCAGCUCUGCUCGCUGUGCCAGCAGCUCCCUGCUGA
ensembl:lncRNA